rnacentral:rRNA from 1 species
GGAUGUACGCUAGCGGGAGGCUUAACACAUGCAAGUCGAGGGGCAGCAUAGGGUAGCAACACUCUGAUGGCGACUGGCAAACGGGUGAGUAACGCGUAUGCAACCUACCCUGUACAGGGGGAUAACCCGGAGAAAUUCGGACUAAUAUCCCGUAAUAAUAUCCGGAGGCAUCUUUGGAUAUUUAAAGUUCCGACGGUACGGGAUGGGCAUGCGUAACAUUAGCUGGUUGGUAAGGUAACGGCUUACCAAGGCUAUGAUGUUUAGGGGUCCUGAGAGGGUGGUCCCCCACACUGGUACUGAGACACGGACCAGACUCCUACGGGAGGCAGCAGUGAGGAAUAUUGGUCAAUGGGCGCAAGCCUGAACCAGCCAUCCCGCGUGCAGGAAGACGGCCCUAUGGGUUGUAAACUGCUUUUCCAGGGAGAGAAACUUACGCACGUGUUGCGUGACUGAUGGUACCCUGGGAAUAAGUAUUGGCUAACUCCGUGCCAGCAGCCGCGGUAAUACGGAGGAUGCAAGCGUUAUCUGGAUUCAUUGGGUUUAAAGGGUGCGUAGGCGGGCUAUUAAGUCAGUGGUGAAAUCCUGCAGCUUAACUGCAGAACUGCCGUUGAUACUGAUAGUCUUGAGUUUGGUUAAGGUAGGCGGAAUGUGUAAUGUAGCGGUGAAAUGCUUAGAUAUUACACAGAACACCAAUUGCGUAGGCAGCUUACUGAGCCGACACUGACGCUGAGGCACGAAAGCGUGGGGAUCAAACAGGAUUAGAUACCCUGGUAGUCCACGCCGUAAACGAUGAUUACUCGCUGUUGGCGAUACACUGUCAGCGGCUAAGCAAAAGCAAUAAGUAAUCCACCUGGGGAGUACGGCCGCAAGGUUGAAACUUAAAGGAAUUGACGGGGGCCCGCACAAGCGGAGGAACAUGUGGUUUAAUUCGAUGAUACGCGAGGAACCUUACCAGGGUUUGACAUACAGGUGGUAGAGAAGCGAAAGUGGAACGACCCUUCGGGGAGCCUGAACAGGUGCUGCAUGGCUGUCGUCAGCUCGUGUCGUGAGAUGUUCGGUUAAGUCCGCUAACGAGCGCAACCCUUGUUGUGUGUUACACGUAUCACACGAGACCGCCGGUAGAAAGCCGGAGGAAGGUAGGGAUGACGUCAAGUCAGCAUGGCCUAUAUAUCCUGGGCUACACACACGCUACAAUGAUCGAUACAAUGGGUAGCCAAGCCGCGAGGCGGAGCCAAUCCUAAAAAGUCGGUCUCAGUUCAGAUUGCAGGCUGCAACUCGCCUGCAUGAAGAUGGAGUUGCUAGUAACCGCAGGUCAGCGAUACUGCGGUGAAUACGUUCCCGGGCCU